GCUCAGGAUGAACGCUAGCGGCAGGCUUAAUACAUGCAAGUCGAGGGGCAGCACGGGUAGCAAUACCUGGUGGCGACCGGCAAACGGGUGCGGAACACGUACGCAACUUUCCUUCAACUGAGGAAUAGCCCAGGGAAACUUGGAUUAAUACCUCGUAAUAUUAUGAAGUGGCAUCACUUUAUAAUUAUAGCUCCGGCGGUUGAAGAUGGGCGUGCGCCUGAUUAGGUAGUUGGCGGGGUAAUGGCCCACCAAGCCUACGAUCAGUAACUGGUGUGAGAGCACGACCAGUCACACGGGCACUGAGACACGGGCCCGACUCCUACGGGAGGCAGCAGUAAGGAAUAUUGGGCAAUGGACGCAAGUCUGACCCAGCCAUGCCGCGUGGAGGAUGAAGGUCCUCUGGAUUGUAAACUUCUUUUAUUUGGGAAGAAACCCAUAUUUUCUAAUGUGGUUGACGGUACCAGAUGAACAAGCACCGGCUAACUCCGUGCCAGCAGCCGCGGUAAUACGGAGGGUGCAAGCGUUAUCCGGAUUCACUGGGUUUAAAGGGUGCGUAGGUGGGCAGGUAAGUCAGUGGUGAAAUCUCCGGGCUUAACCCGGAAACUGCCGUUGAUACUAUCUGUCUUGAAUAUCGUGGGAGGUUAGCGGAAUAUGUCAUGUAGCGGUGAAAUGCUUUAGAUAUGACAUAGAACACCCGAUUUGCGAGGCAGCUAACUACACGAAU
rnacentral:rRNA from 1 species